UACGGAGGGGGCAAGCGUUGUUCGGAAUUACUGGGCGUAAAGGGCGCGUAGGCGGCCCGCUAAGUCGAACGUGAAAUCCCCGGGCUCAACCCGGGAACUGCGUCCGAUACUGGCAGGCUUGAAUCCGGGAGAGGGAUGCGGAAUUCCAGGUGUAGCGGUGAAAUGCGUAGAUAUCUGGAGGAACACCGGUGGCGAAGGCGGCAUCCUGGACCGGUAUUGACGCUGAGGCGCGAAAGCCAGGGGAGCAAACGGG
rnacentral:rRNA from 1 species